rnacentral:rRNA from 1 species
UACGGGGGGGGCAAGCGUUGUUCGGAAUUACUGGGCGUAAAGGGCGCGUAGGCGGCCAACUAAGUCGGACGUGAAAUCCCCGGGCUCAACCCGGGAACUGCGUCCGAUACUGGAUGGCUUGAAUCCGGGAGAGGGAUGUGGAAUUCCAGGUGUAGCGGUGAAAUGCGUAGAUAUCUGGAGGAACACCGGUGGCGAAGGCGGCAUCCUGGACCAACACUGACGCUGAGGAGCGAAAGCCAGGGGAGCAAACGGG